AUGCAUUUUCACACCAUGUUGUUUCCGAACAUGAUGACUGUGACAUCUAAACCUAAUCUCAGUCCAAAGGGCAAUAGUCAAACCAUAAUUCUGCAAGUGAAAGGAAGAAAAGGGUAUGUGAAGAGCAAGUUUCUGCAUCCAGCACAGGCUGAUCACAUCCCUGCUGUCUACGCACAAAAUAAGAGUUUGGUGCUCAGACUGUGGAAAAGUGACAGCUCACUGUUCUGGGCCUCUCAUAAGGAAUUUUUGCAGAGCCAUGGACCUUCAUGGAAAACUAUAUUCCAGACACAGACCUGGGAGAAACACUGAAACUCUGAAAAAGAAAGAAGAUCCCUUGGUUGAUAACUACCUGCUGUAUUCCUGAAGUGCAGAUUUGGAAUCUUUCCACAAAGAUGAAGUCAGUUCUAUGCAAAAUGUCUCUUAGCUAAUGCCCUUCAUCUUGAGAGCCACUGACUACCACAGGUUCUUCCUUGUCAAGACAAGAGAACUGAAGGGAUGAUGAAAGCUAAGCAAAGCACAAGCACUGUGUUGCAGUGAUGCUAUCCGUAGUGAUGCUUAACAAUCUUCUGGCCAUUUGUUUGGUUGGGAUGGAGAAGGAAUUUAUUACUUUGAUGGUAAUUUUAUUUGUGACACAAGGUGCACAAAGACAUUUGGGGAGAAACUGGUUUCCCCCAGAGCUUUCAAAUACAAAUACAUAGGACACGUGUUAGGAAAAAAGGUUUGACAGGUAUUUUUUAUAUUGAAAUUAAGUGAUCUGUUUCAGACAUGCAAAAUCCAUGAAAACUUAGAACUAAGAACAGAUUUUCUCCCACAUUAGCAGAGGACCAUCUUCUUCUGACUGCCAGCUGGCACUAGUAGUGAUGCCAGGGAUCCCUUCUGGUUUCAGAGAGAAGCACACCAGUACGCAGGAGAGGAAUGCUUGUC
rnacentral:lncRNA from 1 species